rnacentral:rRNA from 1 species
ACACAUGCAGUCGAGCGGGGAAGGUAGCUUGCUACUUUACCUAGCGGCGGACGGGUGAGUAAUGCUUAGGAAUCUGCCUAUUAGUGGGGGACAACACCUCGAAAGGGAUGCUAAUACCGCAUACGUCCUACGGGAGAGAGCAGGGGACCUUCGGGCCUUGCGCUAAUAGAUGAGCCUAAGUCGGAUUAGCUAGUUGGUGGGGUAAAGGCCUACCAAGGCGACGAUCUGUAGCGGGUCUGAGAGGAUGAUCCGCCACACUGGGACUGAGACACGGCCCAGACUCCUACGGGAGGCAGCAGUGGGGAAUAUUGGACAAUGGGGGGAACCCUGAUCCAGCCAUGCCGCGUGUGUGAAGAAGGCCUUUUGGUUGUAAAGCACUUUAAGCGAGGAGGAGGCUACCGAGAUUAAUACUCUUGGAUAGUGGACGUUACUCGCAGAAUAAGCACCGGCUAACUCUGUGCCAGCAGCCGCGGUAAUACAGAGGGUGCAAGCGUUAAUCGGAUUUACUGGGCGUAAAGCGCGCGUAGGUGGCCAAUUAAGUCAAAUGUGAAAUCCCCGAGCUUAACUUGGGAAUUGCAUUCGAUACUGGUUGGCUAGAGUAUGGGAGAGGAUGGUAGAAUUCCAGGUGUAGCGGUGAAAUGCGUAGAGAUCUGGAGGAAUACCGAUGGCGAACGCAGCCAUCUGGCCUAAUACUGACACUGAGGUGCGAAAGCAUGGGGA